UACGGAGGGUGCGAGCGUUGUUCGGAUUUACUGGGCGUAAAGGGCGCGUAGGCGGCCUCCGCAAGUCAGUUGUGAAAUCUCCGAGCUUAACUCGGAAAGGUCAACUGAUACUGCGGGGCUAGAGUGCGGAAGGGGCAACUGGAAUUCUUGGUGUAGCGGUGAAAUGCGUAGAUAUCAAGAGGAACACCUGCGGCGAAGGCGGGUUGCUGGGCCGACACUGACGCUGAGGCGCGAAAGCUAGGGGAGCGAACGGG
rnacentral:rRNA from 1 species